UGCGCAGGGCGUGUUUCAAAACGAUAUCACUGAAUUUGACGCCCUUCAGACGCGCCGUGCGGAUGUAUUGUGCAGUCAUAACCUCGGUCAUUGAUGCACGGGUCAUCCGCGCGAUAUAGCCCAUGCCAUAAAGCGAGAUGGUCAGCACCGGCAGGAAGAAGUUCCAAAAGGUCGCAUC
rnacentral:ncRNA from 1 species